rnacentral:rRNA from 1 species
AAUUGACCCCACAGUACAAACGCUGUGAUACACACAUAAGACGAAAAGACCCUAUGGAGCUUUAAACCCCUGUACUACCGGAAGACCUAAACUCACCCCACCCUAGUAUACAUUUUUAGUUGGGGCAACUACGGAGCAAAAUAAAAACUCCAUGACAAACACAUAACAAGCGCACAACCCCAGGCCGCCACGCCACACUAAUAUACGACCCAGUACAACUGACCAUCGAACCAAGUUACCCUAGGGAUAACAGCGCCAUCUUCCCCCAAGAGCCCUUAUCAACGGGGAGGCUUACGACCUCGAUGUUGGAUCAGGACCCCCCGGCGGUGCAGCCGCUGCCAAAGGUUCGUUUGUUCAACGACUAAUGUCCU